UUAUGGUCUCACUUUUGUGUUGUCAAAAUGGUGGAGGCAACCUGCAAAACAUGAAAUUGUUGAACCAGCUUUUCAGAAAUGCAUUAUCAUAUCUAUUCUUGAAGUGUGUUGUCGAUAUUAUAUCCGAUAAAUCUUUCUUUUAUUAAUACAGGGCUGGAAUCAAAUGAAGCCAUGGCAAAUGUUGAAAAAGAUGAAAAGGACAAAGAGAAGCUGAACAAUGAAAGUGCAGAGGAAAGUGAAGAUAAUACGUUUAUUGGGUUACCCUGGGAUUCAUUGAAACCCUUGUGAAAUUUUCUUGUUAUCCAGGAUCUGUAGGUUGCAUGUUAUUAACACUUCGGUAAUUUAGGUGGAUGAUACCAGCAUCUUUCAAUAACCAUCACAACCAGGGGCAGGACCAGAAUCAAAUAAAACUGGAGCAAAUGGUGAAAAAGAUGAAAUGGCCAAAGAGAGGCAGAGUUAUGAACGUGCACAACAAUGUCAAGGCAUAGACUUCACCUUUAAGGAGCAAUGAAAAGACAGUUCAUCAAACCUUUAUCAAAAUGUUUUUCAGUUCAUGGUUUUAGAUUUAAAGUAAAUAAUGAUUUAAAUAAUUCAAUUCUGUAUAUGUUGAAAUUGUAUGCCUUUACAUAUGCUGGUUUUGUUUUUAUUCUGAAAGAUUUCAAACUUUUAUUAAUCAGUGCAGAAAAAAAAUUGCUUUGUCAUUUCAUGUCUUUAUUAAAAUUUGUUAUGGCAGUAGGAUCAGCAACACUGCCUUACAACUGCAGCAACUGGGCUUAUUUUCUUAACUUUAGGUGUUACCUGUUGGAGUUUGCAUAUUUUCCAUAAGACAAAUGUGUGUUUUCACUCAUGCUCCAAUAGCCCCCCAUGAGCCAAGAAGGUUUUAGUUGCUAAUGUAAAUUAAACAUUGUGUUGGUGAGUAGCAGAAUUGGCGGGAAGGGGAUGCACGAUGGAAAUGCAAUAAGGAAAAUCGGAUUAGAAUAGACUUGAUGGUUGGCAGAAGAGUUUAUUUGCAUAUGGUAUGAUCCUUGGCCCUAAUCAUUUUUACUAACAUUCAUUUGUUCUAUCAAUUGCUGGAAAUGGUCAAGCACAUGAACUGAAAGUGUGUAGGUAAUGCUUGUUUAAAGUUAUCAAAUUCAACAGACUGCAUCACAUCACAAACUAAAUCUCAUUAGAUUUCUAAAAUGAAUUCAAAAUAAGCAUUGGAUGUUCAUUUGAAAUAUAAGGUGAUCAUUGAACAGUUAAAGUAGACAAAUGUGCACUUUAGGUGCAUCCCUGCACUUCCUAUGCUGCAUUCCCCACUAAUGGUUAAUUAUUGUUGCUGAAGGCCAAUACACCAUGCAGUAUGCACAAGCUCGGUGUAUGGGAAGUGUGUUCUAAGUGAUGCCUGUCAAUCAUCCACAGCAAUGUAUGAACCAGCACUAAUUAGAUUUCCUUUAUAAAUCAGCCCGAGGUCCAAAACCACCAUUUUCAAGAAUGGCUACUUUCCUUCAAUCAUUCAGUUCUUAGCCAAAAGGGACAAUACUGAUCAUUACAGUACACCAACACCAUGACCACUUUGCCCAAAAAUGCAUUUAUUAUUUUUUCUUAUUGCAUUUUUUGUAAAAUGUGCAUGAUUAUGUUUUUUUAUGAAUGUUGCUUAUUUGAUGCUAUGUGCCUGUGACGCCUGUGCAGUACGUUUUGCAUUACACCAGUGCAUACAUAUACUCAUCCAUAUGACAACCAGCUUGACUUUUACGUUGAGAAGUAUGGUGUUUGUUCCCAACUCCUUUCAGCAUUCAAGUAAUAAGUAUCCAAGAUGAGCCAAAAUAGUAUAAUAAGCCAAAUCAUUGAACUGUCACAGAAUGCUUCCAGGGGUAGCAAAAGAAAAUCAAAUUUUAUCUGCAAUGUACAAUUGAGAGGAGCAGGAGUACUAGUCUUGGAUGUACAAAUGAAACUUCAUGCCAAAUACCUUUCAGCCCUAUAUCCCUUUUGACAGUUACCUUGCCAUCACA